AUGGACACGGCCGCCCGUCAUGGGCACGGAAGACACGGCAUCGCAACGGUAAGAAAUUCCCCUGUCCGCCCCCAAUUUGAGACGGAAGCACCGCACUCCGGAUCCUUCCAUCCAUCACCAGCUCCACUUUCCUUUUAUUUUCGCCGCCACGCCACGCGCACCUCGGCCAAGCACAAGGCUCCGGUUGCCGCCACCGCCUCUGCCCCAGCUAGAAAGGCGCGCCCUUUGGCCGCUCCGCUCCCCUCCUCCUCCUCCACGCCGCGCCUCUCGCCUCCUCGCCGCGCUCUACCCGGUCCGAGCCCCCUCCUCUUCGUCCGGGCGGCGCCUCUCUCCUCUGACCUCCCCGCCGCGCUCCGGCCGGUCCGCUGCUCCUCUACCCUUCGUUCAGGCCGUGCGUAUGUCCUCCUCGAGCCGGAUUUCAUCUUGCUCGUCCUCCCCGGUCGAUUUACCCGUCUAGAAUCGGAAACGCUCUCGACUCCCGAGUUGAUUUUGCUCGUCCCCGCCGCCGUCGGUUUAGAGUCGCUUCUGCUUUGGUUCUGCUCGUCCUCGCCGUCGUCCGUUUUCGUUUUUGCUCGUCCUCGCCGCUGCCCUGACGAGCCCACGUGUUCUUGGUCCGUCUCGUCGAGGGUCUCCCGUCUGGAACGAUCGGGUCUUGGUUUUGAAAUUGGGUUCCGGCCCCUACGGAGAUGGAGAGACGGAGAGCAGUUGUCAGUUUCUCGUGCUAGUUCAGAUCGGUUCCUAGGCUCCUGCGUUUAUGCCAAGGACUGCUCAGGAUUCCUAUCGCUUUCUGUUUUACCAACUAAGACUCUGAAAUUUGGUGACAAAGAAAAGCCGUGGAUCACUCAUCAACCUGGUCUGUGUUUGUAUGGUCAGCUACCAGAACUUCCUGCUAUUGAUCCUAGGAUGUUUCCGAACGUGCUCCCGAACAUGUUCAAUUUAUCUGCUCUAGGACAGCCACUGCCAUGGCACAGUUACUCGGCAUUCUCGGCGUGUUUACUUUGGUGGACUUCCUCGAUCGCUAAUGAACAGGUGCAUCUGAAUCCAAACAUAUGGAAUGAUGCUUGGACUACUGAGGAGGAACAUGCACUGAUUAAUGCCAUCAGGUAUAUGGGAAUAAAUGAGCAGAAAUAG
rnacentral:rRNA from 1 species